rnacentral:rRNA from 1 species
UACGUAGGGUGCAAGCGUUGUCCGGAAUUAUUGGGCGUAAAGAGCUCGUAGGCGGUUUGUCGCGUCUGCUGUGAAAACCCGAGGCUCAACCUCGGGCCUGCAGUGGGUACGGGCAGACUAGAGUGCGGUAGGGGAGAUUGGAAUUCCUGGUGUAGCGGUGGAAUGCGCAGAUAUCAGGAGGAACACCGGUGGCGAAGGCGGGUCUCUGGGCCGUAACUGACGCUGAGGAGCGAAAGCAUGGGGAGCGAACAGG